CUGCCCUACGGGACGCAGCAGUGAGGAAUAUUGGUCAAUGGGCGGGAGCCUGAACCAGCCAAGUCGCGUGAGGGAAGACGGUCCUAUGGAUUGUAAACCUCUUUAGGCGGGGAGCAAUGCCGGGCACGUGUGCCCGGAGGGAGAGUACCCGCAGAAUAAGCAUCGGCUAACUCCGUGCCAGCAGCCGCGGUAAUACGGAGGAUGCGAGCGUUAUCCGGAUUUAUUGGGUUCAAAGGGUGCGUAGGCGGAUUUUUAAGUCAGCGGUAAAAUGUUCGGGCUCAACCCGGGCCGGCCUUUGAAACUGG
rnacentral:rRNA from 1 species